UACGUAGGGAGCAAGCGUUGUCCGGAAUCAUUGGGCGUAAAGCGCGCGUAGGUGGCCUCAUAAGUCCGCUGUGAAAGUCAAAGGCUCAACCUUUGAAAGCCGGUGGAUACUGUGGGGCUAGAGUACGGAAGAGGAGACUGGAAUUCCCGGUGUAGCGGUGGAAUGCGCAGAUAUCGGGAGGAACACCCGUGGCGAAGGCGGGUCUCUGGGACGGUACUGACGCUGAGGCGCGAAAGCGUGGGGAGCAAACAGG
rnacentral:rRNA from 1 species